ACCAUCCUCUUGGGGAAAAAACCCCCACAAAAUCAGUAAUGAGUUGUGGGGACAGCAAGACGCUGGCGCCCUCCUCAGAAAGCACCUGUGCUUCUGUAAAUGGUGGACACCUCAUUGGGAGCCAGUCUUAUUCUGCGUCAAGCUUUCAAAUAGGCCUGCCGCUCGAGAGAGAAAUUCCAGUUCCAGAGUUAUGCUGAAAAAGUAGCCGCAGGAAGGUUAAAAUCAAUGACCCGAAUGCCAGUUUGAUCUCAUCCCAUUGAAAAUUGGACCUAGAGCCUAAGAGGCUUUGGAAAAUUACCUCGUAAUCCUUUCUGGGACGCCUGGGUGG